CACUUUACAUCAAGGACUGAAACCUACGGUAAGGGGUAUAUUUACUUGGCCAACACAGGCAGUUCGAUUUCAAAAUAUAACAAAAAUAAGGAAAAUCUGAAUAAAGUUAUUGCUUAUUAACGCUAACCCAGUUCACAUACUACGGGAAUAUUUAUCCUAUAAACUUAUGGCAAUGUGCAGAAUAGGAACCAGCUUGCAGUUUUAUUUACAAUUACCAGAAUAAUAAUGAACGUGAAAGACUUCUAACAUAUUUCCACCCAUGUUUGUUUUUUGCCUAGACAUGGGCCUUUGUCACAAUAUUCAAACAUAGGUGAAGCAAGUAUUUGCCUGAAGCAGCGGGCUAAGAUUUUUUUGCAAUCUUGUAAUUUUCAUGGCAUACGACGCAUCUGUUAUUGAAGCUGACGUUUGCUAUCUGUGCCCAAAUCGAGAUUUUAAUACAACGAUGACUUGUAAUAUCUUCUCACAAUGGAAUUGUUUGUCGGACAAUGGUACAGAACAGUCACUCUAAACUUCAUGGUCAGCGAAAGUAAUUUUGCUGUCACCGAUUUUGACAGACGGAUCUUGAUGGGCGACGUACCAACAGUUGAAAAAAUGGAUUGGUCUUCUUGUACAAGAGCUUUUCUACUUGUAAUUACUGUCACGUUUCCAGUUGGUUUUGAUAAUUUUGGCAGUUUUGUAAAGCUGGGCGAUUUAUGCUGCUCAAACAUACUUCCAUAAAAAGCCACGAUCUGCAUUGCGCUGAUAACAAUAUUGCCAUAUCAUCUCUAUUGUACAUAUUAAAUAAUGCCCAGAUACGUUUUAAUAAUACUCCUACACCCCUCUCUUUGAAGUCCCAGAUGAGCGAUUUCAUAAAAAAUACAAAAAGGGUAGAAUUUGGGUCAAGUCCCUGCUCCCUUGGCACAAAUAGAAAUAGCUACUCUGACUUCAAGUUUACAGGUAAUGCGGUUUAUUAGUUUUCUAUAUUCAACUUAUUAUUUAGUAUACUUGCGUGAUUAACAUACAGAUCUUCCGUACAACGGAAAUUUUUAUAUUAAUUUAUGACAUCAUAUUACAUGAACAUCUUUGUUAUGACCCCAAAAUUAAUUUCACUAAGAAAACCAUAUGACGUCACUAUGAUUUUUCGCAUUGUUGGAAAUACAUGAUACUAAUUACAUUAACUGGCGUAACUUAUUUCAAACUAUCCAUAAUCAAAUGAAUUAUGAUAACCUCUAGUACAUUGUGAGCUAUUUUCACAGAGAUAUAUAAAUAUAGAGUGUGCUUCUCUCUCGUUUUCGCGGGAUCGUUUGAAGCCUCUCUCGUUUUGACGAUAUGCUUCCAAAUUUUCCGAUGCGCGCAAUGCAUUUCUUAAGGGAUUUUACAGAAAUUAAUUAUUUGCGUCGAUUUUUUUUGCAUAUUCGCAUGUUCUUGAUUCGUUUCUCACUAUAUAUCAAACGCUAAUAUACCCCAGCUUAGCAUCUUUAAGGAAAAGUUUUAAAAAAUAGAAAGUCAUAUAUUUGACAAAAUGCCGAAACUUAUGCCUUUUUAAUAAAACAAACUAAGCACUGUUGCAAACUAUCGCCAUAACAAAAAGGCGAUAUGCAAUACUGUUGUAUAAAAUAUACCAAGUAACCCAUUAGUAAACGGGAGAAAUCUAAUGGAAAUCCUAUGUUAUGAUCUGAUUUAUUCAAUACUUGUACAUUACUUUCUAUUGUGACCACUUGUAACACAAACAUUUGUAUACCUUAUGUGUUUAUUCUUACAGUUGAAUCUCAUGCGAAUAGCAACACAAAGAUCUUAUUUGCAUCAGAUUAUUUAACAUAUAUUCUUGCUGUUGAUUGUAAUAAAUUUGAAGGGAUUCGAUGGAUCGGAGUGUUUACACCAACACCAUAUCCAACAGCGGAAGAUCUUCUUGGCGUCAGAAAUACUUUGAUUGAUUUGAAUGUGACAUCGCCUCUAAAUUUUUCUCAAUGCCACGGCCGAAAAUUGGAUUGUUUGACUCAUAUUAUAUCCACUCAUCAUAUUAUAGAACGAUAUAGCAAAUAAAUAUUCAGACACAUAACAAAAAAAUAUUCACCUAUUUCACUGUUUGUUUGAUAGACAAUGUUUGGAAUACUUGCUUUAUUUACUAUCGGAUCUCUCUAUCAAUCUCUCUUUCACUCUAUUUCAAAGGCGGGGUAUUACGAAAAAUGUAUUUGGGGAAAUUGAUUCUAUAUAAUUGUUUAGAACGUAGUGCCUAACGUUUCCACAAAGUUUCCACGAUGAAGGAAUUUUCGAGGACCGCUUAAGUCAGUGGUUCUUUAACUUUGUGAGCCUGCCGAACCCCUACGCUAUUCUGCAAGCUUCUGUCGAACCCCAAAUAUUUGAACUUAAAAGCGCAACCUGAACUUAUUGAGGGUUGUUUUUGCGAGUUAAAUUUGAAGGAAAUGCUUUGUCAAGAGAGUAUCAACCACCGAAAAAAAAACUGGCUGCUCCAUUGGUUGUAGCAGAAUAAAUUGCAACAAACAGUAAACUUCAAUUAUUCAUUAGAUUUAUUAGUGAUACUUCUGCUGCUGUUUUUCGGUAACCAAUUGAGAGAUACGUGGCUUCAAUUCAAAAGGGGCAAUUCUCACGCCAUUCUCGCAUUGGAGUCACGUUCAGUUGAGCAGGUAAAGCCAUACUGCAAAUAGU